rnacentral:rRNA from 1 species
CCUACGGGAGGCAGCAGUGAGGAAUAUUGGUCAAUGGGCGAGAGCCUGAACCAGCCAAGUCGCGUGAAGGAUGACGGCCCUACGGGUUGUAAACUUCUUUUGUCCGGGAGCAAUUGGGUCCACGCGUGGGCUUAGCGAGAGUACCUGAAGACAAAGCAUCGGCUAACUCUGUGCCAGCAGCCGCGAUUAUCCGGAGGAUGCGAGCGUUAUCCGGAUUUAUUGGGUUUAAAGGGUGCGUAGGCGGAUUGUUAAGUCAGUUGUGAAAGUUUGCGGCUCAACCGUAAAAUUGCAGUUGAAACUGGCAGUCUUGAGUACAGUAGAGGUGUGCGGAAUUCGUGGUGUAGCGGUGAAAUGCUUAGAUAUCACGAAGAACUCCGAUGGCGAAGGCAGCUCACUGGACUGCAACUGACACUGAGGCUCGAAAGUGUGGGUAUCAAACAGGAUUAGAUACCCUAGUAGUC